rnacentral:rRNA from 1 species
GUCCGCAGCUAUAUCAUCCUGCAUCUCACAAUUGGCAGCCCCACUGAAGCUCAGCAGGUGUGAGCCUGGUCAGUACCUGGAUGGGAGACUCCUGGGAAAAACUAAGGUUGCUGCUGGAA